UACGUAGGGUGCGAGCGUUAAUCGGAAUUACUGGGCGUAAAGCGUAUGCAGGCGGAUCGUUAAGUCGGGGGUGAAAUCCCGAGGCUCAACCUCGGAACUGCCUUCGAUACUGGCGACCUUCGAGUCCGGGAGAGGUGAGUGGAACUCCGAGUGUAGAGGUGAAAUUCGUAGAUAUUCGGAAGAACACCAGUGGCGAAGGCGGCUCACUGGCCCGGUACUGACGCUGAGAUACGAAAGCGUGGGGAGCAAACAGG
rnacentral:rRNA from 1 species